UAUCUCCAAGAGCAGUCAUUUUGAAACCUGAUCUGGGAGAAAGUGCAGACUAAAUAAAAUUUCAUUUUGACUUGGCCUCCUGCUGAGAAUGGGGCUGCUUUGUCUCAGCCAACAGAAGCAGCACGCCAGAAAGAUCUGUGUUUAGUUGUUAUAUAACCUGAAAUCCAAUAUACACUGCAAUAAACAGAGGCAAAAUCAAGUGAACAUAGCACUAUUCAUUCACUACUGCAGUAGACUUAGAGUGGAAUACAGAGAAUUGAUUUACUUACUCUACAAGGAUUUAACUGUAUAGGAGAAUAUAGAAGGCUAUACAGUCUUAUAAAAAGCCUCCUGACAUCCAGCUUGUGACCUGACUUUGCUCCUUUGCCGCCUGACUCCUGACCUUGUGCCUGUGACCUGACUACGCUUCUUUGCUGCCAGCCUUCCGACCCGUGCUUCGUCUGACUACGCUUCAUUCUCGGUGCCAAGUUACAUCUGGGCAACCUGUGUGGAUGGAUCCUGCCAGGCGUAGCAAGAAAGUUAAAGCAAGAAAGUAAAAAUAAAUCCCCUAUGGUGUUGCUGCAAGGAAAUUGAACAAUUACUGCAGUGUCCCACCAGAGGUAAUUUCUACAAGCAACAAGAGUGCACCUGCAUUAAAGUACGAUGAAACUCAAGCGUUUUGAAUAAAACUUGAAAUCUAAGGUUAAAGGAUGCAAUACUUAAAAAACAGGGAAACAAGAGGAACAACAACUUGGCUUGUAUAAAAUGAUGACUGGUAAUUUUCUAAAAUAGAAUAAAAUAGAAUAUGAAGCAGUGCAGCCAGAAGUCGUUCUCAUUGGUAACAGGAUGUAUCAUGGAUUUCAUUAAUAAAAAAAAAUUCUUAAUAAUAUGAAAUAAUAUUUCAAAACUUAAAGGAGUACUCCACUGGACAACUUUUUUUUUUUUUUUUUUUUUUUUUUUUUAUCAACUGGUGCCAGAAAGUUAAACAGAUUUGUAAAUUACUUCUAUAAA